GACGAACGCUGGCGGCGUGCUUAACACAUGCAAGUCGAACGGAAAGGCCCUGCUUUUGUGGGGUGCUCGAGUGGCGAACGGGUGAGUAACACGUGAGUAACCUGCCCUUGACUUUGGGAUAACUUCAGGAAACUGGGGCUAAUAUCGGAUAGGAGCUCCUGCUGCAUGGUGGGGGUUGGAAAGUUUCGGCGGUUGGGGAUGGACUCGCGGCUUAUCAGCUUGUUGGUGGGGUAGUGGCUUACCAAGGCUUUGACGGGUAGCCGGCCUGAGAGGGUGACCGGCCACAUUGGGACUGAGAUACGGCCCAGACUCCUACGGGAGGCAGCAGUGGGGAAUAUUGCACAAUGGGCGGAAGCCUGAUGCAGCAACGCCGCGUGCGGGAUGACGGCCUUCGGGUUGUAAACCGCUUUCGCCUGUGGCGAAGCGUGAGUGACGGUAAUGGGUAAAGAAGCACCGGCUAACUACGUG
rnacentral:rRNA from 1 species